rnacentral:rRNA from 1 species
GAGUUUGAUCCUGGCUCAGGAUGAACGCUAGCUACAGGCUUAACACAUGCAAGUCGAGGGGAAACGACAUCGAAAGCUUGCUUUUGAUGGGCGUCGACCGGCGCACGGGUGAGUAACGCGUAUCCAACCUGCCCACCACUUGGGGAUAACCUUGCGAAAGUAAGACUAAUACCCAAUGAUAUCUCUAGAAGAACUCCUGAAAGAGAUUAAAGAUUUAUCGGUGAUGGAUGGGGAUGCGUCUGAUUAGCUUGUUGGCGGGGUAACGGCCCACCAAGGCAACGAUCAGUAGGGGUUCUGAGAGGAAGGUCCCCCACAUUGGAACUGAGACACGGUCCAAACUCCUACGGGAGGCAGCAGUGAGGAAUAUUGGUCAAUGGACGAGAGUCUGAACCAGCCAAGUAGCGUGCAGGAUGACGGCCCUAUGGGUUGUAAACUGCUUUUAUAAGGGAAUAAAGUGAGUCUCGUGAGACUUUUUGCAUGUACCUUAUGAAUAAGGACCGGCUAAUUCCGUGCCAGCAGCCGCGGUAAUACGGAAGGUCCGGGCGUUAUCCGGAUUUAUUGGGUUUAAAGGGAGCGUAGGCCGGAGAUUAAGCGUGUUGUGAAAUGUAGACGCUCAACGUCUGCACUGCAGCGCGAACUGGUUUCCUUGAGUACGCACAAAGUGGGCGGAAUUCGUGGUGUAGCGGUGAAAUGCUUAGAUAUCACGAAGAACUCCGAUUGCGAAGGCAGCUCACUGGAGCGCAACUGACGCUGAAGCUCGAAAGUGCGGGUAUCGAACAGGAUUAGAUACCCUGGUAGUCCGCACGGUAAACGAUGGAUGCCCGCUGUUGGUCUGAAUAGGUCAGCGGCCAAGCGAAAGCAUUAAGCAUCCCACCUGGGGAGUACGCCGGCAACGGUGAAACUCAAAGGAAUUGACGGAAGGGCGAAUUCCA